GCAAGGAAUCGCAGAGGUUCGUGGCGAAGACACGUACACCGCACCCGAUUCCGCAGGCCGCGCAGCUCUUCAAGUGCCGAUCUGCCAAUGUGUGGGGUCGAGGGGGAAGGCCCCUCGUCCUUUCUCUCGGGGGUUUAAGGGGGAUACUCUCUUUCGAGACAGAGAGUAUCCCCCUUUAGCGCACUCCCGCACGGUGCGGGAAUCCCCCGACGGCCUCAGGCCGUCAUAAUUUUCAAGCGCUUUGCGCAUCAAAGCCUUUCAAAGAUUUCUUCUCCUCGCGGAGAAACACGAUCACGCUCAGAAGGAACGGGAAGAAAUACGUCGCCACGCGAUAAAGUACCAGCGCCGACGAGGCGAUUGCCGUGUCCGCCCACGGGGCGAAGAGCAGCAAAAACGCAAACUCCAUCGGGCCCACGCCCGCGACGUUCGGCAGCGCGCUUGUGAUGAGCAGCAUCAGCGAGGCGAGCAGCUGUGCCUGCGCAAAGUUAAGCGCCGUGCAGCCCACGAGCCGCAGCGCGGCAUAGGGGAUGGAAUAGAGCACGAAGAGCUUCACAAGGCUCACGGCGAUACCUUUGACGCGGAUUGACGGAACGAGCAGCACCUUUUUCGCCUCGCGGUUGAGCUCGGUGAGACUAUUCGCCCACUCUUCGCGGCGUUCGUCCCACUUCGGCGUGUGCGGGAGCUUGUCGAGCAGCAUCAGCACUAACUUCAGCACCUUAUCCCAGGUGUAGAGCAGCGUGAGCGCGAUCACGAUGAGCGCGCCGAUGACAUAGCCGAUCAGAAGAUAGCGUGCAAGGCCGCUGGCGCUCUGCUCCAGCCAGUCGCCGCCGAGCAGCAGCGCGACCGUCGCGCAGAUCAGCACGGAUAUCUUGUGCAGCACGUAUUCGCUCGCCAUGAUGCCGAGCCCGCUGCCUGCGUCCAGGCCUCGCCUGUAAAGGUAAAAGCUUUGCAUCGGCAGCGUGCCCGCACCCAGCGUCGCGAUAUUGCCGAACACGCCGAGGAAUGUCACGCGCAGCGCGUCAAUAAACGUGCAGUCCGGCUUUUUGUGGUGGAUGAUGACGAGGCACAGCACGGAUUCCAUCGCCUCGUAGGCAAAGCCGAGUGCGAGCAGGAGCAGCACACCCCAGAACGGCACAGUACUCAGGUCCUUGACGAUAUCGGGCAGCACGUCGCGGAAAACAAGGAUGAUGGCAACAGGACGGAAAGACCCCAUGGAGCUUUACUCCAGUUUGAUACUGGGAUUCGGUACUGCAUGUACAGGAUAGGUGGGAGACGAAGAAGGAUGGACGCCAGUCUGUCCGGAGUCGCUGUUGGGAUACCACCCCUGUAGUACUGGGUUUCUAACCAGUUGCCAUGAACUGGCAAUGGGACAAUGUCAGGCGGGGAGUUUGACUGGGGCGGUCGCCUCCGAAAGGGUAUCGGAGGCGCUCAAAGGUUCCCUCAGAAUGGUUGGAAACCAUUCGAAGAGUGCAAAGGCAGAAGGGAGCUUGACUGCGACACCGACGGGUGGAGCAGGUACGAAAGUAGGACUUAGUGAUCCGGUGGUAUAAAGUGGGAUUGCCAUCGCUCAACGGAUAAAAGCUACCCUGGGGAUAACAGGCUUAUCACUCCCAAGAGUUCACAUCGACGGAGUGGUUUGGCACCUCGAUGUCGGCUCAUCGCAUCCUGGGGCUGUAGCAGGUCCCAAGGGUUGGGCUGUUCGCCCAUUAAAGCGGUACGCGAGCUGGGUUCAGAACGUCGUGAGACAGUUCGGUCCCUAUCCGGCGCGGGCGGAGGAUAUUUGAGAGGAGCUGUCCUUAGUACGAGAGGACCGGGAUGGACGGACCACUGGUGUAUCUGUUGUCGACCAACGGCAUGGCAGAGUAGCCAAGUCUGGAAGGGAUAAACGCUGAAGGCAUCUAAGCGUGAAGCCCCCCUCAAGAUGAGAUAUCCCUCCUUCGGGAGUAAGACCCCUUGAAGACUACAAGGUAGAUAGGGCAGAGGUGGAAGCAUGGCAACAUGUGGAGCUGACUGUUACUAAUAGGUCGAGGGCUUAAUCU
rnacentral:rRNA from 1 species